UACGGAGGGAGCAAGCGUUACUCGGAAUUAUUGGGCGUAAAGGGCGCGUAGGCGAUUCAAAAAGUCAACUGUGAAAGCCCAGGGCCUAACCCUGGAAGUGCAGCUGAUACUGUUGAAUUUGAGUUCCGGAGAGGAAGGCAGAAUUCCCGGUGUAGCGGUGAAAUGCGUAGAUAUCGGGAGGAAUACCAGUGGCGAAGGCGGCCUUCUGGACGGAUACUGACGCUGAGGCGCGAAAGCCAGGGGAGCAAACGGG
rnacentral:rRNA from 1 species